rnacentral:rRNA from 1 species
GACGUAGGGCGCGAGCGUUGUCCGGAUUUAUUGGGCGUAAAGAGCUCGUAGGCGGCUUGUCGCGUCGUCCGUGAAAACCAGGGGCUCAACCCCUGGCUUGCGGUCGAUACGGGCAGGCUAGAGUUCGGUAGGGGAGACUGGAAUUCCUGGUGUAGCGGCGAAAUGCGCAGAUAUCAGGAGGAACACCGGUGGCGAAGGCGGGUCUCUGGGCCGAUACUGACGCUGAGGCGCGACAGCGUGGGGAGCGAACAGG